UACGUAGGAGGCGAGCGUUGUCCGGAAUUACUGGGCGUAAAGAGCGCGUAGGCGGCACGGUACGACCGGUGUGAAAGCCCCCGGCUCAACUGGGGAGGGUCACCGGUAACGGCCGAGCUAUGAGUGCAGGAGAGGGAAGUGGAACUCCGGGAGUAGCGGUGAAAUGCGUAGAGACCCGGAGGAACACCAAUAGCGAAGGCAGCUCGCUGGGACGUUACUGACACUGAGGCGCGAAAGCGUGGGGAGCGAACAGG
rnacentral:rRNA from 1 species